CAGAUUGAACGCUGGCGGCAUGCUUUACACAUGCAAGUCGGACGGCAGCGGGGUAGUGCUUGCACUACUGCCGGCGAGUGGCGAACGGGUGAGUAACAUAUCGGAACGUACCGAGCAGUGGGGGAUAACUAAUCGAAAGAUUAGCUAAUACCGCAUAUAUUCUGAGGAAGAAAGCAGGGGACCUUUGGGCCUUGCGCUGUUUGAGCGGCCGAUAUCUGAUUAGCUGGUUGGUGGGGUAAAGGCCUACCAAGGCGACGAUCAGUAGCGGGUCUGAGAGGAUGAUCCGCCACACUGGGACUGAGACACGGCCCAGACUCCUA
rnacentral:rRNA from 1 species